rnacentral:rRNA from 1 species
UACAGGGGGUGCAAGCGUUGCUCGGAAUCACUGGGCGUAAAGCGAACGCAGGCGGACCUGCAAGUCAGGGGUGAAAGCCCGAGGCUCAACCUCGGAACUGCCUUUGAAACUGCAGGUCUUGAGUACGGGAGAGGUGAGUGGAAUUCCGAGUGUAGCGGUGAAAUGCGUAGAUAUUCGGAGGAACACCAGUGGCGAAAGCGACUUUCUGGGACGUUCCUGACGCUGAGGUUCGAAAGCUCGGGGAGCAAACAGG